rnacentral:rRNA from 1 species
CGGCGAGCGAAAAGGGAGGAGCCCAGCGCCGAAUCCCCGGCCUCCGGUCGCGGGAAAUGUGGCGUUUAGGAGUGAGCGUGCCGAGUUCGACGGCUGCGGCAAGUCCCCCUGACCGGGGCCUGUCCGUAGCGGGUGCGAGGCCCAUAGCCGCCGCUUUCGGCUCGGAUGCGAUCUCCUUGGAGUCGGGUUGCUUGGGAGUGCAGCCCUAAUCGGGUGGUAAACUCCACCUAAGGCUAAAUACCGCCGUGAGACCGAUAGCAAACAAGUACCGUGAGGGAAAGUUGCAAAGAACUUUGAAGAGAGAGUUCAAGAGUACGUGAAACUGCUCAGAGGUAAACGGGUGGGCCCUCGAAAUCCUGUGGCGAGAGGAUUCAGUCUGGCUCGGCGGACCCGCGGCGGGAAGACUCGGGUAGGGCUUCCCGUGACUGGGGCCGUCCUGCUGCGGGGCUUCCGUCGUUCCAGACGCAUUUGUCUCUCGUCCGAAGGACGCUGCAGCCGGUUCGGAAUUGCAAGCGCGACGGCCUGAAGGUCGGGAAAUGGCAGGUGGCCGGCGGCUCGCCUCGUGCGGGUUGUCGGUUGUUAGCCGUCCCGUCAGUGGCUCGUCUCCGGACCGAGGUGUCGCGAGUCCCGUCAGGGACUCUUCGUCUCCACCCCCGCGGUUGCGGGACUGGUCGUGGGAAGGGCUCCGUAUUCCCACCGUCGCACUACUAAGGAGUGGGCGGAGGGCUGCGGGUCCCCKUUGGCUGCGACGGACCCGUCGGGGGCUUGAGGCUUGCAGCGAGUA